rnacentral:lncRNA from 1 species
UUCUUCCUCAUUUAUACCUGUAAGUAUUGGUAAUACCUGGAACAGAACCGAUACUCGAUCAGGUACCCGAAUUAGCUGAAAUACAACUAAAUACUUAUAAAUUAUUAAAUAUAUUACAGUGUUUUAAGUAUAUUUUUGGUAUUUUAGAUAUAUUGUUAUAAGUUUUUUGGAUUUUCAAAUAUAUUUUUUUAGUCUUUUUAAAAACCGAGCCGCAAAUAUUUUGAUAUGUAAAUGGAGCUGAAACCUUUUUUUUAUUAAAUAUUAUUAUUAUUAAACUGACCAACCGAUGAUCAACUGGGUUUACUACAAAAUUGAACUGCUAGCAAAAACCAGAACCGAAAAAACAACAAGAACAAUAUUGGAGAGUUGAGAAGACAAUCAAAGACCCAGGGUCGCUUUGUCCGAUUGACUACCACAGCAGCAUGUGUGACUUGCAAGCUUUGCGGCACACUACCUAGUCCGUUCACAACGCACUACCCGACUCCAGAGGGUUGAUCCCUAACAGAGAGGGCAUGAUCCCCAAUCACCAAUCUUGGCGACAACUAAAGAUAACAACAGACACCAACAGUUUUUAACCGGUGAAUACUGAUAACACCUGAUUUUGACCACUUUUCACAAUUGAUUUCAAAUGCUUUUUCAAAGGUUUUACUUAGUUUUAGGAAAUUUUAUUAUGAUUUCCAUGUAUUUGUAGUUUCAAGGCUCUUUUCAGGAAACUUAGGGAAUAUGAUGGCAAAAUGGAAGAAAUCCACAUUUUUAGCUCAGAGUCAGACUGUCCGAUCCAGCUCAAAUUUGGAGACAAUCAAGAGGAGACAACCAGCUUUCCAUAGCACUUUACAUCACAAAGAUCCAACGGUGCAAUCAAAAGAUACAUGGAGAACAAGUUGACCCAGUUCACCAGUCCCAGAAGACUCUCACCCGCGGCAAACACAUGUUUUACCUGCCUUGGAAGACUCUCACCCCCGGUGGACCUUAGGACGAGCCACAAGGCCCAACAUCAAAGCCCACUUCACCAUUUCUCUUCAGAGAAGCCCUAAAUGAGACCUGGAAGACCUUAGGACCUAUAAAUACAUUGUUUAGCAGCCCUAAACGGGUGUGUGCUCCUGUAAUGAGAUUUUGAGCCACCAAACUUUGUUUUUCUAGGGUUAGGCGAUGGAGAUGGGGAUUCUUCCCCAGAUCCAUUGUUCUUCCUCCUUUUUAUUCUAUUAACUUUUUUGUUUCAUUCUUUUGCAUUCUUCUAUGUCUUUCAUCAUUCAUUGCAUCAUGUAGAUUAGUCUCAGAGAGUCAAAUUGUUUGAAGACAUCGACAAGCAUAUAUAUCGAUUAGGAUUUCUAUUGUUCUUAGCCAUAUUCUGGAUCUCAUCUCUUCUAAGUAAUUCGUAAAGCAUGAGAGUAAAUUCAUGACCUAUUCUCUGAGCCUAGGAUCGAUCAGAGCCACGAGAGUGCUGUAUCAGAUCAUCCAUACCUAGCUUCAGAAGAACAUAGUCGCUAUAGGAGUCGAAAGCUACCUAUAGAAAAGAUGUGAGCAGACGAAUUCAGUGUUCAUAGCAUGAUCUUAAGUUUAGCAUGAGAGCAAGAGUUAAUUGCUAGAUCUAAGAGAUUAGUUGAUUAAGGUGACGACAGUUGGUUAAUCAUACAUGUGUCUAUUCUAGUUCAAUGCAGAUUCCCAGAAACAGAUGAAGAUAAAUCGCCCGGAAGCUAGUUGGAAAUGCCACCAUGCAUCAAUUAGAGUAAACCAGAGAAGUCUAAAUCGCCACCUAUGAGUUUAAGAGUCUUUAGUUUGAAUCGAUAUGCUUUAGAUGUUCUUUUAACAAUUCAUUCUGCAUUGCAUCUCUUGUGAAUAUUAGAUUAGGUUUAGUUUAGGAUCUUCACCAAAAACCCCAUAUCUUUUAUUGGUUUAUGAGUUUGCUUACUUCCCAGUUUGUUGUUUCUUGCAGAUUAGGCAUCCUCCAUGUGGAUCGACACCCUAAGUCCUACAACGUACAUCUGUGCACUUGCAGACACUAGGGUUUUAUAAUUUUAAAUCUUUUGGAGGACCAACAGGCUUGUUAAAAAAUGACCCUAGGCCCGCAAGCCCAUCAAAUACUAACCGGAACGAGCACUCAAUCUCCGCCUCCCCCAUCUACUCCUCAUUCGUCUAGCAGGGAGUUCUCGAACUGUCUCGCCUCAACACCACACCUUCAAUCUAGUCAUGGAAGGACCCAAAACGAGCCGGCAAGCAAAGGGAUGACCAAACCCUAGCCACCGCCAAGCACCGUAAGGGGCUGCUUCCGAUGCAGGACGUCUUCCACACCACCUCCUCAACUUGCAACGCAACCCACUGAUAACACCGUAUUUUGACCAUUUUUAUAGAUCACUUUAAUAUCUUUUGCAGGUGUUUUUACUCCAUUUUCAAAGGUUUUCAAAGGAUUUCUAUGUUUUCGGAUUUUAAAAGACUUUUCAGGUAAUAUGGGAUAAAGAUGUGCUAAUUGGAACAAAAAGACUCUUUUAGAUAAAUUAAGACCGUUAGAACUCUCAUGGAGAGACGAAGAUCUUCUCACCGUCUGAUCACCCUCAAAAUUGGACAAUUAAUUGAAGACUCUACCAAAUUUCAAAUGCACUUAGUUUGGAGACAUUCCAACGGUUGGAUCUCAAGAUAUUCCAUUUGCCCCGGAGACAUUCGAAGACAGCCGGCAAGCCACGCGACCGCGGCCAGUAGCCCAUCGUUUAUGAUCCUUGUAGAGUUCCCGAAAGUCCAGCGUUUUUAAUCACUGUUUACAAACAAUUUGAUAUUUACUUGCUUUCUUAGAUCUGCAUUUUAUUUGCCUUAGUUUGAUUUUCUGCUUGUUUCAUUUGCUUUCAUUCGAUUUUCUACUUGCUUUUUAGGAUAGUUUCAUUUGCUUUCUUUAGUUUUAGUUUAAUCUGUGACAAACAACAACCCUUUUAAAACCGAUUUAGUCUAGACAUAAACUUAGAAACCGUGGUAAAAUGCUAGGCACACAAAUCCCUGUGGAUUCGAUCUCUAAGUACUACAACUGAUUAGUUGUGCACUUGUGGCUUUCAUUUAUUUUUAUUAAGGGUAAAACUUGUUCCCUCACUUUGUAGCACAUCGAGUUUUUGGCGCCGCUGCCGGGGAUUUGUUUCUUUGUCUUUUUUUUUCUUGUUCUAAUUUCUGUUCUAGACAUCUGAUCUCUAGUUCCUUCUUAAGUUGCUAUAUUAUCUUUCCCUUCUUUUGUUUUUCUAUGAAUUGCAUGAAUACCAGGCACAGACCUGUAGAAAACAUUCCAAUUCUAGACAAGAUAGACAGACAUGAAAGAGAACUUCGAAGACUUAGACGAAUGCAAGGAAUUGUCGACGACGACCAGCCUGGAGAUCCUGUUAACCGAAAUUUAAACAUGGACCAAGAUGGGUCCAAACAUGGUGAAAACAAAGAGAAUGAUCACAGAGAAGGUGAUCAUGCUUGACAAGAUGGAGAAGAGAAUGCGAUUCCUCCAAGAAAUCCUCAAAACCGAGAGAGAGAAGAAUGUGAAGACCUUGAUGCACCUAUCAAUGUAGCUUAUGGUAACAACCAGGAGAUGCAGCCGAAUGGGCGCAAUAACGCCAUGUUCAGCAAGCAAAUCAACACCGGAGACAAGCCAGGAACCAUCGCAUAGUUGAUUUCGACGCACCUACUCAGAAUUUUCAAAAUCGAUCUGCAAUCCAAGUACCGUUCCCAAACCGGAAUGAGUUUGAAGUCAAGCCUCAAAUCAUCUCUUCGGUGAAACAAAACCAGUUCCAUGGAGUUCCUUCUGAACAUCCAAUGGAUCACAUUUAACUCUUUGAAGAAAUCUGCAGCAUGAUGAGGACAAACCAAGUUCCAGCAGAUUAUCUAAAGUGUAAGUUGUUUUCUUUUUCAUCAGCAGAUAAAGCUCACCGUUGGUUGAAAUCUUUGCCUGCAGGACUGAUUACCAAUUGGAAAAAAUGUAAAACCGCUUUUCUGAACCACUUCUAUACUAAGUCAAGGUCGAACUUACUGAGAACCAAGAUCUCAAGUUUUCAGCAAGGACCACCUGAACCUUUCUAUGAAGUCUGGAGCGUUUUAAAGAGUAUGAAGGUGACUGCCCUCACCAUGGAUUUCCCGGAUCAAGCCUGCUGAGCACAUUUUAUAGAGGUUUGCAACCAAAAUACAAACUUUCACUUGAUACAGCCAGGAACAGAGAUUUUGGACAGAAAAUGACAGCACAAGGAAGAGCCCUCAUCGAAAAUUUGGCUCAAGCUAAUAACAAUGAUUGUCAGGAAUACGAUCGAUUGACGAAGUCGGCUGGAACGGAUAACAAGGAAAUAACCGAGUUGAAGAACAUGAUGAGCCAGGUUUUGAAAAGCCACAAUCUCCCAAUCCAUGCUUGUGACACCAACAAUGCCGCAGCAGACGAAGGACCUUGUGAUACCGAUCACACUAAUCCGACCUUUCAGGAAGAAGAACUGAACUAUGUAGGAGCUCAAGCACCAUAUUCAAAUCGCUUCAACAAUGCUUCCAACAACAACUUCCAGAAUGCGAACUACAACAAUCUCUCUUACCAAAAUCCAAAUGUGGAGAAUCCUCAAGACCAGCAUUACCCACCGCAGCAGAAACUCUUCCAAAACAAGUUCCAAAGUAGAAAUUUCAGAGGGACUGGAGUUUUUCAGCCGCAAAAACCAUAAAACUAUCAAGGUACAGGAUUCAAUAAUCAAUUUGGACAGCAGCAAGAGUUACAACAAACCAGCUAGUUUCGCAAAUAGGAAUACUUGAACAGUCCAUCCAACAGCUUGUUAUGACAAACGAGAAGGCAGCUAAAGACAUGAACGUGAAAGUUGAUUGCAUGUACAAUGACCUGAACAGGAAGUUUGAAGCUUUAUCUUCUCACGUCAAAAAUCUAGACGUCCAAGUUGCCCAAACAGCUGAUUCUAUGAAAAGACAAAAUGAAGCUCUUCCCGGGAGAGUAGAAGACAACCCCAAGAGAUUUUGCAAUGCCAUCACUACAUUGCCUGAAGAAGGAGCCAAAACCGAUGGAGAGGACAAAGAAACCCCAUUCUCUAUACCUCUCUGCAAGAAUGUCGAUGCAAAGCAACCACCAUUUAAGGUAUCUCAACGUUCCCCGCUUUAAAGGCUCACAAAAGUCGAUGACUCGGGACAUUUUUCUUUCCAAUGUUUCAUAUCAGGAAUCAAGUUUACAGACUGUGUAUACGAUUCCAGAGGCAAUGUCAACAUCAUGUCUAAGGCAUUUGCCAAAAAAUGGGGAUAAAGACCUUAAGGCAAUCGACGGUUAAGGUGAUCUUUGGAGAUUCAUCUCAAAAAAAUACUGAAGGGGCGAUUCAUGACCUGCAGAUUCUAGUUGGGAACAAGGUUGUUCCAGCAGAUUUCCAAGUUCUGGAAAUCGAUCAAGACAAAGAGAGACUACUUCUAUUUGGGCGACCGUUUCUAGCUAAAGUAGGAGCAGUAAUCGAUCAUGCUAACUGGCAUGCUGUCUUUCUGAACGUGGACCGCAAGAAGUUUUAUCCCACUGUCCCAGACGAUGCUCCAAACAAAGGAAAAUGGCCAAAGGAGAAAGACAAGGAGAAGCCAAGACCUUUUGCAAAAAUCAAGAUCAUCAUUCCACCAGAUUCAACAGAGUCUAGUGAGGAACAGAUCCAAGAACUGAUCGAGAACACAAAAAGGGUCUUAAACAACGUUAAAGUCCGAAAGAAGAGUAAAGGAAAGAAGCUGGUGCUACAAGAAGAAGAAGAAAAACCUCCAGCACCCAAAAAUGAUAAAGGCACAUCAAGUGAAGUGCCACUUCAUCCAGCCGGAUCUUUUAAGCCUAAGUCGAGCUAAACGACUUAAAACAAAAGCGCUUAAUGGGAGGCAACCCAUUUAGGUACACUUUCUUUUAGUUUUCUUUUCCUUUUUGCAAUUUAUGUUUUCUCUUUCCUUUUAGUUUCAGGUACUCUUAUAAAACAAAAACACAAAAAAAUAUCAGAAAAAUAGAAAAACCCAAAAAGAAGAAAAGGUUUUUAGCUGCUUGGCCCACAAAAAACCUGAAUGAUGGACGCAGGCCGCAGGAAAAUGGGUGCGGUCGCGACCAACCGACCCGCGGCCAACACAUGAUCGACCGCGGCACCAUGAAUGUGACCGCAGCCGGACCCUUGUUCACCGCGGUCACGCGUCUCCUGACCGCGGCUGUUGGUCGUUGAGACGGAACCUACGAUUUUCGUUACUUUUCAAAGAUUUCCGGUGAUUUCCGACAAUUUCCGAAACGUUCCCCGGGACAGCUCAUUCCAAUUUUUUGUGAGUUUUUAAUUUCCGUUUACGUAACAAACAAGUAAGAUAAGUUUCCGUAAGCUUUUGAAUUCCCAAAAAAUUUCCCGUUUUUGCCACAAAAAUGCUUCUUAAAGAAAGGAAAUGCACUUUUGGAUCAAAACUCCUUUUUCUCUUCUCUUCCAAGAGACUUGGAGAUUUAGGAGAUAGAGCAUCUUUUUCAAUUCUUAAGCUUUUUCAGAGAUUCUUGGACCAAACCUCACUCUUUUUCAAAGCUGAUUUUGAAUCUAUUAUCAAAUCUCUCUUUUCAGCAAUGUAUGAAGGCAGUUUUUAAUUGAUUUUGGAACUUAAAGUUUUCUUAAAAAGGUCAAAUCUAAGUUUAUUAGUGGUGGAGAUAGCUUAAGAAGAAUAGAUUUGUCUUUUAGGUUGUCUGGAAAUCGAUUUUAACACCUGGUUUAAGAGGAAUUGAGAAUUUUGAAAUUUGGAAUCUACAUGCUUUUUGAAAAUCAAAUUUGGACUAGUAAAGUUGAUGAAUUUGAUCAAAUAUUGUGUGAUUAGUGAUUAGUAUCAGGUGACCUAUAGAUUUGACAUGGAAAUUGCUCAAUUAAACCGAUUUUUAGAAAAUUUCUAUGUCAAGAACAUCACAAGUUCGAAUCUGGUCAUGAACUACUCAAUUUUUCGAAUUGAUAUCAGUUAUGCUUGCUUGUUGAACUCAGCAUCCAUAUUCACUGUUUAACUAAUCUCUUGAUACUCUGAUUCGUAUACGUGAUCGUUAAUAUGUUAAACUCAGCAUCCAUAUUCACUGUUUUUCCGAGAAUUACCUUGUCUUGUAGGAAAAUGGAAUGAACCGAGUCUCGGAGAAGCCGUCGCACUGGUGACAGCUCCGAGGCAAUACCCGAUGAUAGUACUCUUGGAGAGUAUAUGCUGAGCCAAGCUAGACCGAGAACAAGAGGUCGAGUGAUGAGGCUGCUCCAACACUCAAGAGAAGCCCAUGCGAUUCCCGAGCCACCAAAGAUCAGAUAAGAUUAACCCAAGAGUCGAUUAUGCAAGGCGCUUUAAGAAGGUGAACAUCAAACCAACACCCUGCAUUGAUUAUUGAUGUGGGUGCAGUGGGCAACACAAGUUUUACCCUAGGCAAGCUACAAGUACACAGCAAACGCAGUAGUACUUAGGAAUCGAAUCCACAGAGAUCUGUGUGUUGAGGAUUUCUAACUGAUGCUAAAAAAAAUCGUAAACCUAAUCUAAAUAAAAAGGGUUUGUCACUAAAUCUAAUUUUGCAAAGAAUUAACAAGGCUUGAAGCAAAAAUCGGUUGAACACUUAUAUGAAAAGCGGCGCUGGGUUCAAGGUUCAUCUUUAGGGUUCAUGUUCUAAAACAAAAGGAAUUUAGGCAAGGAUUUUCUAUGACUUUGAAACUAGGAUAGACACAUGUAUGAUUAGCCAACUCUCGCCACCCCAAUCAUCUAAUCACUUGUUCAUGGCAAUUAACUCUCGCUCUCAUGUCAGAACAAGAUCAUGCUUUGUAGAUCAGAAUCCAUCUCUGCUUACGUAUCCUCCGUAGGUAGCUUUCGUCUCCUACGACGGUGACGUCCAUAAGAUCGAGUUCAGGCAACCCAGAUACAACACUCUUGUGGCUCGGAUUUAACCUAAGAUCGGAUUCUGGGUGAUCAAUCCAGAAUUACCGCUUUGAGAUUUGGAUGAAUGGGAGAAUCAUGAUAAAAAUCAAAAUCCUUUUUCCUAAAAACCUAGAUGUCAUUCGAACAUGGGGUCCCUUUGGAUUACCCUUUCACCUAACUAGGUGACUACUUGGACAUAGCUGAAAUAGACAUCAUCAUCGGUUUAAGAACUAGAAAAAAGAAAAGUAAAGAAACAAAAGUUUCAGAAAAACUUCUCUUAUUAAAGACAGAUUGGCGAUGGAGAGCUUAUACAAAUGCAUAAAAAUAAAACCUAAAACUACAAAUGAGUUCUCUCUCAAAGAGAAGAAAGAGGCUCUCUUACAGAAGACCUAAAAAUGAGUAUUUAAAGUGUUUCUCCAAGUCUUGGGCGUCUAGGGCUUGUAAAUUGGGUACAGGAAGUGUCUGGGGCCUUAUUUGGGCUCCUGAGGUUCGGACAUAGAUCCACCGGGGGUGAAACCUCUUGAGCCGCAGUGGGAAGAAGGCUGGCCGCGGGUGAAAGCACUUGUGCUUGACUAGACUUGUGUUGAUCGGUCUUUAGUGAAUUAAUGAUAUCUGAAGAUCUAACCGUUGGAUUGCUUUGAUUCCAAGUGUGUUGGAAAGCUGGUUGUCUCCUCUAUAAUUUCUCUAAAUUUGGGGAUGAGCAGAUGGUGAGAAGGUCUUCAUUGGUUGCCAAACUUCUGACAGUCUGAAUUUAUCCAAAAAUGUACUUUUACUCCAAAAUGCACUCCAAAGUCCCAAGUUUCCUGAAAAACCUUUUAAAAAUCCAAAACAUGGAAAACACUUAUAAAACCUUUAAAACUGAGUAAAAACACCUGCAUAAGAUACUGAAAGUGAUCCAUAAAAGUGGUCAAAAUCAGGUGUUAUCAACUCCCCCAUACUUAAACCUUUGUUUGUCCUCAAACAAAACCAAAGAUCUGAACAUGGAAAAGAGGUUUGAAAAUCGCAGGAACUAACAAAGUUUCAGAGACUAUGCUUCUAAACCAAAGUUAGUCAUUAUGCUCAAAUCAGGGAUAGUCUAGAAAAUUCUCACCAAAGCACAUGCAUAACUAAGGCAUAACUAAUCCGUUGAUCAGUCAUGCAAAAAUCUAAACACUUAAACCUAUCCUCCAGUCAACUAGCUCUUAACAUUCAUUUAAUAGUUCCAGUGGUUCUCAUCAAAAGGAGUUUAGCAAGGCAAUCAAGGCUAGGUAUUCAGAAUGGCUGUUUAGAAGGUGAGGUUUUUAGUGUUUAGGGUUACCUUUUCUGGUGAGACAAGACAUUAUGCAAAACAGCAGAGGGGGUGGAGCUGUUGAUAUCCACAGUUUCCAGUCACAUUCUUCUUGCCUUUAGAUUCUUGAUCUUGUUUUUUCAGGUUCUCCUCAUGACUCCCCCAGACUUAAAUUUUUGUCCAGGUUUAAAACGAAUGCUCACUAAUGAAUACUUGUAGCCUUUGCUACAGAAAAUUUUGGCCAACCUAGACUCUUUUAGGCUUUUUAUUUUUCUUUUCCUUUCAUUUUUUUUUUUUUUUUGCAGAAAGGGGAAAAUGCCUUUGGGUGUAGACUCUUAGGAGGCAGGAAAUUUACCUUUAAAUUUAAGCUUUCUGAGGCACCAUUAAGCUUUGAUAGAUUCUUGAUGCUCCACUUUCCCAAAUUUCUUCAGUCUUCUUCUUGAGUGACUGAAAACCAUGUUGCUCCUCUAUCUCUGGCGUUUGUGCACAUAUUUGUCGAUAUAAACCAAAGAGAGAAUGCAUGAGGUUUAAACAUGAAGGUUUGGGUAAAAGGUGUGGUACCAGCUAAUGAUGAACUGGCCAUCUAGGACAACAAAGAAUGGUAACAAUAAGGUGAAGAUGUCCUAGAUGUGUAUCAUGAUGCCUGUUAAAACCAAUGAUGAGAAAAUUAAUGUCAAGAUUAUGUUCAAGUGAAAUGAGCUAGUCUAUCCUGUCAGAAAAAGUCUCCUUGAGUAGAAAUCCUCUGGUGGGAGUUCGUAGUGCAAGUACUCUAGCUACCGCCUAGUCUAGCACUAACCAUAGAAAGAACUAGCAUGAAAAGUCUAGAAGCACAUGGGUCUUACUCAUCAUAGUUUUGUGUCAAACAUUCCUGAAAAAUACUCAAGGUCUUUUAAUAAUCAUAGAAAUAUUUUAAAAACUGCAGAAAAAUAUAAGAAACAAAGAAAAAUAGAUUAGUACGGAUAAACAUCCUCCCCCAGACUUAAAUCACAUUGUCCCCAGUGUGAAAAAGUUGGUGAGAAGAUGGUGAAAUAAAAGCAAAAGAGUUUAAAAUAAAAGAAAAGAAAAAUGGUGAUAGAACCGUGGAUAUGCUGUGGUGACGGUGAUGGAUAGAGGUCUAUGUCUCAUGGCUGUCAUCUGUCUCUGUGGCAGAGGAAUCAUCAUCAAACCAGCGGUUCUUCUUCAGUAGCCUCUUCAUGCGCCUGUUGAUAUUCUCUUGCUGGUCUAGCUUCUUCUUCAAAGCUGCAAAGUCUGCAUCACUCCUAGUGGAUGCUCUAAUCUGAGAAGAACUGGCUCUGGAUGAAGAUGGUGCAGGCUGAAGUCUCCUGCUGUUUUCAGCUACCUCUCUCUUGGCUUUUGCAGCCAGAAAAUGCUUCAUGGUCAGAGGUAAGAGUGGCAAAGAUGGUAGGAAGUCGCUAGUCUCUGGUUUCCAUCCUGGGACUGAACCAUCUCGGAGACGGGGUAUUGAAUCUGAUGGUAGAAGGACCCUGUACUCGGUGGAACUGGUGCAGAAAUUAUACGCAAAUUUAAUUGGGUCCAUCUUGGCCCUGGUGAUACUCUUGUCUCUAGAGAACUGAGAAAGAUCAAACCAAUCCUCUCUAAGAGGUGUCUCAGCUGAAAAAUCAACUCCUGCUGCUAUUAUAAGCGAAGUAAUGAUGCUCCCAAAAGCUGGUGAGUAGUCCUGACAAUCAGAUGUAAGCAUCUCAUGCUUAACUUUCACUAGGUUCCUUUCAAUGAUACAAGCAAAGCAAGGAAACUUGGGGUGAUCUGCGAAUGGUAAUUGUAGUGUCACUAACUCUAGCUUAAGGAUAUUCGCUUGGUUGGCUCGCGAAAACACAGUGUGUGCUAGUAGCUUAUGCACAUAGCGGACAGCAGGGUGAGAAAGUAAUGAUGCCUUGGACCUUUCUUUGUCAUAAACUCUAUAACCCAUCAGUUUCCAAAGAUCCUCAUCUCGAUCCUUCUCCAAUUAAAUUUCAUCACAGUAAGCCAACUUCAACGCAUCACACAUCUCUAAGAUGGUAAGAGAGGACCUCCAAUAUAGAAGGAGAGUGUGCCAUCUAGAGCUCUAGGAGUAGCUCUCCUCUUGUAGCUCAAAGUUGCUGAUGCAAGGAACUCUUUGGUGUGGCUCUCAUAGGUCUGAAAAUUCUGCUCCAUGAAUGAUCUCAUUCCAAUCCUAUCAAGAUACCAUAUCACAUCUUCUUUGAUUCCAAGCAUCUCAAGAGUUGAGUAGUCAAUUGCUGGAGUUGGCUUGAUCUUCAGCUUCUUAAGCUGCGCCAAGUAGUUGAUGUCUGGGUCAAUGGCUUUACCAACAAACUUCACUUUUGGCCUUGAGGAAGACUUGACCUUUCGAGGUACAGAUAGCUGAGUGGAGGCUCGCUCAAUCUCUCCUGAAAAUAUUCUUCUUUGCGCGGUAAUGAAAGUGGAUAGAGGUUCAUCAUCACUCAGUUGUGUCUCGUUUAAUGUGUCAUAUGUCUCCUGCAAAUGGGCUUUUUUGCAUGAGAACUCUUCUUGGUUCGAAUCAAAGAACAAGAUUCUCAAGACAAAGAAUAAAUCAAGCUGCUUUGGUAUCGAUUUUUAUGAGCAAGGUGUUUAUAGAACUAUCACAAACACAUUCUCAUGACAAAAAAGCUGCAAAUUCAUCAAACAUUGCAAAAUCUGAAAAUUUCUGGUCAAGUUCGAUAUAUUGAUGUCCAACACAUGAGAUUUCUAAAUCAAGAUGAAUUUUAUGCUUAGUCACAUGUAAUUUAAUCUGGUUUUCUAUCAACAAGAAUCAAACAAUCCAGAUUUGCAAAGCUGAAUCAAACAGAUCUUCAAAUUUCGAUUUUCUCAAAGUCUCAAAUCUCAGAUUUUUGAAAACUUCAAAUCUCUAUGGUCUAAGUGUUUAAUCAUGCAAUUAAACUACCCAGUAGUCUAGUCUUAAGUUCAAAGACAAUCUCCAAUCAUCCUAAGGUGAAUUUCUACUCAUUUUAAGAAAACCCUAAAUUUGAGUUCUUAAGAAAAAGUGAGAAAUUUGAUACCAUACCUUUGAUGAAAGUGUUAUGUGAUGAUAGAUUUGGAAUAUCCUUUGAAAAAGAGUGAGAUAGGUUCGAAAAUUUGAAGCUAGUUUAUCAAGUUUGAAAUUUGGUCUUUUUCUCAAAAUUUUCAAGCUUGUUGGGGAAAAUGAAGAGAAGAACUUUUUGAUCUUUUAAAUCCCUUUUUUCUUUUAAAAAAGUGUUUUUCCUGAGAAAAUUUUAUUUUUAAAAGUUUAGAAAACUUACCUUGGCGUGUUUAACACAAAAAUUAUGCUUCGGAAACUUUCCGGUUAAAUCUCGAAAUAAAACAGGAAAUUGAAGUUCCGGUUUACGGGAAACAGGGAGAACUCGCCUGGGACAAAACAAGGGCCGGCCGCAGGCCAGGUGUGCGUGGCCGCGGUAGAAAAGACUUGGACCACGGGCGAGGUGUGUGGACCGUGGCUGAGAAGGGCUUGGCCGCGGCUGGAUUGAUCAUGGCUACGGUGAACUAUACCCGGGGAAUUCCCGGUUUCUCUCGUUUUUCUGUUUUCUCCUCCUAUCUUUUUGUAUUUUCUGGUUUUUUAAUGUUUUUGGUUUUUCUGUGUUUAAUGAAACCCUGAAAUGCAUAAUAAGAAAAGUAAAUAUCAAAUAGAAAAGAAAUAAAAAGAAAAGAAAAUCAUACCAAAUGGAUUGCCUCCCAUUAAGUCUUUUUGUUUAAAGUCUUUUAGCUAGACUCUUGGCAGGAUUAGAAUAGAGAAAAAAUAGUAGGAUCUCUUGAAGUAAGAGUCUUUGGGGUUCUCCUUAGUCUGAACUUUGGAUCCCCAUCAUCUUGAAUCACAACUCUUUUCCUUUCUUAAAGAUUUUUGCAUCCUUGAAGACAUGUCUUGUCUUCUCAACAAUUUUUUCAAGAUUUUUCUCCUUCUCCUUGAUGAUGUCUGGUGGCACCACUAUCUUGAUCUUUUCAAAUUGCAUGGAUACAAGUGCUUUUAGUUCCUUUUUGUCAUCCAACAUCUUCUCUUUGCUCUUAUCCUUGCGGCUUGGAGCUUGAUCUGGUGUGGUCUUAUAGAACUUUUUCCUGUCCACAUUUAAGAAAACUAAAAAGCAAUUUGCAUGGUCAAUAACAGCAUCUAUAGUAGCUAAGAAUGGACGACCAAAUAUCAAGGGUCUGUCUUUGUCCAUCUCUAAGACCUGGAAAUCGGCUGGGAUAAUUUUGUUUCCAAUGACCAGUGGUAAGUCCUGGAUCAUUCCUUCUGUCCUCUUUUGGGAUGAAUCACCAAAGAUUAUCCUUACUGGAGAUGGGACAAAUGUACCUAUACCAAGUUUCUCAGCAACAGAUUUUGACAUAACAUUCACAUUAGCACCAGAAUCACAUAAACAAUCUGAAAAUUCAAUUCUAAAGAUUGAACAAGUGAAAGAAAAACGCCCUGGAUCCUUAGACUUUUUGAGUCUUUGGUCAAGCAAGCGUUUGGGUACCUUAACCGGAAUGACUUGGCUUCUCUCAUGCUCGGUUUUAGAGUCCUUCAUGAGAGGUUCAGGUGUCGACUCUUCCUUAAAGUCUGUGACAGGUUCUUCUUCCAAAUCCGCUGUCAUAGCAUUACAGAACUUCUUUGGAUUAUCUUCCACUCUUCCUGGUAAGACUCCUGGCUGUCUCUUCAUUGAAUCUGCAGUUUGACCUAUCUGAUGUUCCAACUUCUUGAUAUGGGUCGUAAGAGACCAUUCAAGUCAUUGUAAAUACAAUCGAUCUUCACCCCCAUUUUCCUGAUUGACUUCUCAUUGCCUUGAGUCGUCUGUAUCAUAGUUUGUUUGCUUCUAAUGAGCUGGUAUGUGCUUGUUGAGGAUUGAAAGUUGGUCUUUGUUGGAAGUUUCCUCCUCCAUAGUUCCCAUUUUGAAAUUUGUUUUGAAAACUCCUUUGCUGCUGCGGGUAGGGCUGAUUCUUGGCUCCUUGAUUUCUGUAUGAGAGAUUGUUGAAGUUGGCAUCAGAGUUCCUAAAGUUGUUGUUAAAAGCUGGACUAAAUCGGUUAUGGUAUGCCUGAGCUCCCAUAAAAUUAAUUUCUUCCUCUUGGUACAUACCAUCUUCUUCAUCUCCUGCAGUAGUAUCACAAGCAUAUAUAUUCUUAUUUUGAGACUUAAGAAGUUGACUUACCAUUUUUUUUAGCUCAGCAAUCUCCCUUGAUUUAUGACUAGUGAUAGCCUUCUUUGAUCUGUCAUACUCAGGGUUGUUGUUGCUGUUAGCUACAGCUAGAUUUUCGAUGAGUGCUCUCCCUUGUGGUAUGGUUUUCAAAUUGAAAUCUCCAUUGCUGGCAGUGUCAAGAGAAAGUUGAUACUUCUGCUGUAGUCCUCUGUAGAAGGUGCUUAGCAGGUUUGAUCCAGAGAAACCAUGAUGAGGGCUCUUUCAUACUCUUUGAAUUGCUCCCAGGCUUCAUAGAAUGAUUCUAUGGGGCCUUGUUGGAAACUUUGUAUCUUGUUCCUCAGCUGUUUCGAUCUUGACUUGGUGUAGAAGUGGUUCAGGAAAGCUGACUUGCAUUCUUCCCAUGAAGUAAUAGAACCAGAUGGCAUAGAUUUUAACCAUCUAAAAGCUUUAUCACGUAGAGAGAAAGGAAAAAGCUUACACUUCACAUAGUCCACAGUUUCUGGAGUUGUUCUCAACAUUCCAGAGAUUUCUUCAAAAAGAUCAAUGUGGUUUAUUGGAUGCUCAGUAGAGAUUCCAUGGAAUUGAUUCUGCUUCACCAAAGAGACAAUCUGACAUUUUAUCUCAUGAUCUCCUCUUGGAACAGGAAUUUGAAUAGCUGAUCGAUUUUGGAAGUGUUGGUGAGGUGCAUCGAAAUCGGCAAUGAGUGUAUUCCGAGGCUGUCUUCUCGCGGGAUUGGCAAGCUGUAUGGGUCGAUUGGCUUCUCUUCCAUUAGGUGGAACAAUGUUUUCAUCAUUCAUUCUUUCUUCAGGAUCGACUUGGUCUUGUCUCCUUCGGUUAUCAGCGGCUUGAGCAGGAUUCAGAGGGACUUGGUUUCCCUGUUCAUCGAGUUGUGGCUGGCCAUCUUCUUCAUGGGCAGCAUCUAGGUCAUCACCAUGAAUUGUAUCAUGGUCAUCAUCUCCAAUGUGAAUUUCCUGAUCACGGUUUAAAAGAUCUUCCCGAUGGGCAUUCAGAUUGGCCAUCUUGAGUGUUCUUCGUCUGAGUUUCCUAAGUGCUCUUUCGUGUUUCUCAAUCUCGUCUAAGGGCAAUACGAUGUCGUCAGGAUUUCUCCUAGUUUUCAUGCACCUGUGAGCAAAGAAAGCAAACAUAAAAAGAAGAGUUAGAAAAUCUCCAGCAGAACUCGAAAAUCUUGAGGUUUAGGAUUGAAAUUAGAUUACGAAGUCAAGUCAACAGCGACAGUUCCCCGGAAAUGGCGCCAAAAACUUGAUGUGGGUGCAGUGGGCAACACAAGUUUUACCCUUGGCAAGCUUCAAGUGCACAGCAAACGCAGUAGUACUUAGGAAUCGAAUCCACAGAGAUCUGUGUGUUGAGAACUUCUAACUGAUGCUAAAAACAAUCGUAAACCUAAUCUAAAUAAAAGGGGUUUGUCACUAAAUCUAAUUUUAAAAAUAAUUAAAAAGGCUUGAAGUAAAAAUCGGUUGAAAACUUAUUUGAAAAAUGGCGAUGGGUUCAAGGUUCAUCUUUAGGGUUCAUGUUCUAAAACACAAGGAAUUUAGGCAAGAAUUUUCUAUGACUCUGAAACUAGGAUAGACACAUGUAAGAUUAGCCAACUCUCGUCACCCUAAUCAUCUAAUAACUUGUUCAUGGCAAUUAACUCUCGCUCUCAUGCCAGAACAAGAUCAUGCUUUGUAGAUCGGAAUCCAUCUUUGCUUACGUAUCCUCCGUAGGUAGCUUUCAUCUCCUACGACGGUGACGUCCAUAAGAUCCAGUUCAGGCAACCCAUAUACAACACUCUCGUGGCUCGAAUUUAACCUAGGAUCAGAUUCUGGGUUAUCAAUCCAGAAUUACCUCUUUGAGAUUUGGAUGAAUGGGAGAAUCAUGAUAAAAAUCGAAAUCCUUUUUCCUAAAAACCUAGAUGUCAUUCGAACAUAGGGUCCCUUUGGAUUACCCUUUCACCCAACUAGGUGACUACUCAGACAUAGCUGAGAUAGACAUCAUCAUCGGUUUAAGAACUAGAAAGAAGAAAAGUAAAGAAACAAAAGUUGCAGAAAAACUUCUCUUAUUGAAGACAGAUUGGCGAUGGAGAGCUUCUACAAAUGCAUCAAAAUAAAACCUAAAACUACAAAUGAGUUCUCUCUCAAAGAGAAGAAAGAGGCUCUCUUAUAAAAAACCUAAAAAUGAGUAUCUAUAGUGUUUCUCCUUUGGGCAUCUAGGGCUUGUAAAUUGGGUGCAGAAAUUGUCUUGGGCCUUACUUGGGCUCCUGAGGUUCGGACAUAUGUUCAUCGGGGGUGAAACCUCUUGAGCCGCGGUGGGAAGAAGGCUGGCCGCGGGUGAAAGCACUUGUGCUUGACUGGACUUGUGUUGAUUGGUCUUUAGUGCAUUAAUGAUAUCUGGAGACCUAACCGUUGGAUUGUUUUGAUUCCAAGUGUGUUGGAAAGCUGGUUGUUUCCUCUAUAAUGUCUUCGAAUUCGUGGAUGAUCAGACGGGAGAAGGUCUUCAUUGGUUGCCAAACUUCUGAUGGUCUGAAUUUAUCCAAAAAUGUACUUUUGCUCCAAAAUGCACUCCAAAGUCCCAAGUUUCCUGAAAAGCCUUUUAAAACUCCAAAACAUGGAAAACACUUAUAAAACCUUUAAAACUGAGUAAAACACCAGCAUAAGAUACUGAAAGUGAUCCAUAAAAAUGGUCAAAAUCAGGUGUUAUCAAUUAUUAUAGACUCGAGAUGUUUAGGAUUAUAUAAGACGUCAUCUGCUACAUCGAUGCACUUAGGUUGAGACCCUACAUGGAGCUGAAUCUUCCAACUUAUGCCGAGCUAGUUCGCGAGUUCUUAGCAACCGUCACCCUUCACCACACGAAGAGGAGGAGCCCAAGUCAGCCCUUCUUACUCAUCGAAUAAGAACCUGAUUUUGACUUAUGGAGAGAGAUGGGCCAUGGCGUUCAUGACAGCGGGAGAUCCAAGUCAGCCCUUCUUACUCAUUCUGCAGUAAGAGUUGUGCACAAACUCUUACCACACAUGAUUUUCUCUAGAGCCAAUAUGGGAUGUGUCCUAAAGACUGAGCUCAUUACACUUCAGACACCAUUUAUGGACAACCCUCGACUUGCCUGCUUUGCCUGGAUCAUCGCACAGAAAAUAGUGAAGGUGAAGCAUGAUUUACAUGGAUGUGAGGAUGCUACUACUGCAUAUGGGAGCGCUAUUACAGCAGUACUACAGGCUGUAGGAUUUGAUUUCUCAUCUGAUGAUCCACUUCCCGACGUCUGGUAUGACCUACUCUAUCUCUCUCGCGAUCACACUAUCUCUCGUGCCAUUUUCGAUCCAGACAGGUUUGGUUACAAGUAUUGCACUAGCACCGAGGAGCACCGAGUUUGCUUACCUUCAGCAUCAGUCUCGAGACUGUGUAAAGGAGCACACCCACGAUGGACACCGGGACCUGAUGAGUUUCUAUAUUCUGUACCUCGUCUGCCACUCACUAUCGGGCAAUACAUAGUGGCUAAGGUGAAACGCGACGCAGCUGCAGCACGUGCUUACUAUCACCCAUAUGUUUCCACCGAUCAUACUUCAUCAUCUACAUCAUCACGCACACAGUCUGACCUGAAGCGCAGAGUUGAGAGACAGAGAUGACGUUUUGAGCGCGUCGUCACCUUCCUGCAGGAGCAGCACCAAUUCGAGGCAGACACAUCGGAGGAAAAGUGAUUGAUCAGCACUUCAUCAUCAUUGCCCCACCAUCACGGUUCUAUCAUCAUUUUCUUUUUUUUUUUUUUUUUUUUAGACUAUCUCGCUUUUAUUCACCAUUUUCUCACCAACUUUUUCACACUAGGGACAGUGUGAUUUAAGUCUGGGGGAAGAUGUCUAUCCGUACUAAUCAUUUUCUUGCUUUGUUUUUAAAUUUCAAGUACUUUUAAAUUUUUAAUAUGUAACCUAUGCGACUUUAGUAAUUUUCAGGAAUGUUUUACACAAAACUAUGAUGAUUUAGACCUGCAUGCUUCUACACUACGCACGAUAGCUCAUUUGUGGUAAGCACUAGACUAGGCGGUAGCUAACGUACUUGCACUACGAACUCCCACCAGAGGAGUUCUAUUCAUGGAGAUUUUUUCUGACAGAAUAUACUAGCUCAUUUUAUUUUACCUUAAUAUUGAUAUCUAAUUUUCUCAUCAUUGAUUAUUGGCAGGCAUCGAGAUAUACAUCUAGAACGUCUUUUUCCUCAUUUUUACCACUUUUUGUCGUCCUAGAUGGCCAGUUCAUCUUUAUCUGGUACCAAACCCUAAACUCAAACCCUUUGUUUUCAAACCUCACGCAUUCUCUCUUUAGCUUAUGCCAGCAGAUAUGUGCAAAAACGUCGGAGAGAAGAGCAACGACGCAGUUUUCAGUCACUCAAGAGAAAGACUGAAUGGAAUUAGGAAGGAAGAGUACCAGAAACCUUAUCAAGCUUUAUAUUGCCUCAGAGAACUCAUUCUUAUUGGUAAUUUCAUGUUCUCUAUGACUUUAUAUCUAAAUGUGUUUCCCCUUUCAAAAUAAAUAAAUAAAUAAAAGGAAAGGAAAAAAAAAGCCUAAUGAGUUUUAGAUUGUCGAAAUUAUUUAGAGAAAAGGCAACCACUAUUCAUCUAUGGAGCUAUGGUUUUGAAAGAUAGACAAAAAUAUAAGUCUGGGGGAGUUAAGAGAGAACCUGAGAAAGAAGACCAGAAAUUUAUGGCAAGACGAAAGUGACUGGGAACUGUGGAUAUCAACAGUUUCACUCUCUCAUGUCGUUUUGCAUAAUAUCUUGCAUCCUCCAUAUCUUCAGGUAACCCAUAAACACUUUAAGCUUUACCCCUAAAAUGACCCCUUUUGAUACCUAGUCUAGAUCGCCUUGCUUAUACUUUCUUCAAUGAGAACCACCGAAAUUUUGAAUGAAUGUUAAGAGCUAGUUGACAAGAAGUUAAAUCUAAGUGCAAUAGAUUUCCGCAUGACGGAUUAACGGAUUAGUUAUGCCCGUAUUUUUAGUGAGAAUUUUCUAGGCUAUCUCCAAUUGAUACAUAAUGAUCGAUAUUAGUCUAGAAGUUUGGUCUCUGAGAUUUUGUUAGUUCCUGAGUUUUCAAACCUCUCACCGAGAUUUGGUCUUUGUUUUUGAGGACAAACAAAAGUCUAAGUCCGGGAAAGUUGAUAACACCAUAUUUUGACUAUUUUUAUGGAUCACUUUAAUAUCUUUUGCAGGUGUUGUUACUCCAUUUUCAAAGGUUUUCAAAUGAUUUAUAUGUUUUCGGAUUUUAAAAGACUUUCAGGUAAUUUGGGAUAAAGAGGUGCAAAUUGGAACAAAAAGACUCUUUUGGAUAAAUUCAAACCGUCAGAACUCUCAUGGAAAGACGAAGACCUUCUCACCGUCUGAUCACCCUCAAAUUGGACAAUUAAUAGAAUACUCAACCAGUUUUCAAAUGCACUUGGUUUGGAGACAUUCCAACGGUUGGAUCUCAAGAUAUUUCAUUUGCCCUGGAGACAUUCAAAGACGGCCAGCAAGCCACGCAACCGCGGCCAGAGCCACGUGACCGCAGCCAAGCCUUCAUUCCCUACGGUCACACCUCACGCGACCGUGGCCAGACAUCUCCGACUUAAAAAAACCCAUUUCUGAAGCCCAAGUCAUUCUCCAGCCUCAAUUCCGGAACCCUAGAGACCUUGGAGUAUUGAAGACUAUAAAUACUUGUCAUUUAAGUCGUUUUUAGAUAUCACUUUUCAUACUUUUACAGAAACCCCUUUUUCAGCCGUUUUAUGCGAUUUUUAGAGAGGAUUCUUCAACUUUGAGUUCAUCAAUAGAGAAGUUUUCUUUCAUCUCUUUUCUUUACUGUUUCUGAUUGCCUUCAUCAAAACCAAUGAUGAUGUCGAUCUCAUCCAUGGCUGAGUAGAUCCCAAGUUGGGCAUAGGGUUCUCGAAAGGGGCUCUCUUAAUCGAUUAAGACAUCUAGGUUUUUAGAUCUGGGAUUUUAACUAAGUUCUCUGUUUAUUCUCAUCUUUAAUGCAUGUAUGCUUGAUUGAUCACCUCGUAUCUGAUUUAGAUAGUUAGUGUUGCGAAAGUUUUCAUUAAGUAUCCGACCUACAAUGAAACAUGCGAUUUUUCUGUAGGAGUGGAAACCUACCUGCGGCAAAAUCGUGAGUACUGACGAGUCCUGUGCAGCUCUUGCGUUUUCUCCCUUCCAGGGCCAGAGUGGAAACCUACUGGUCAGGGUUGCGAGAAACAGUUGGUUAUAAUCAUGACGGUGACAGUAGUCAUACUGUCGAACUCUAGCUCUAGAACCCUAAUAUUUCGAUAUCCGUCAGUUCCAAUCUAAAAUCCCUAGUAUUGAAACCGAUUAUGAUCCCUGUAGAGUUUUCGAAAGCCCAGCGUUUUUUAAUCACUGUUUACAAACCAAUCGAUAUUUACUUGCUUUUUUAGAUCUGCAUUUUAUUUGUCUUAGUUUGAUUUUCUGCUUGUUUCAUUUGCUUUCAUUUGCUUUCAUUUGAUUUUUUACUUGUUAUUUAGGAUAGUUUCAUUUGCUUUCUUUAUCCGUGACAAACAAUAACCCCUUUAAAACCAAUUUAGUCUAAACAUAAACUUAGAAACCAUGGAAAAAUACUAGGCACACAAAAUUUCUGUGGAUUCGAUCCCUAAAUACUACAACUGAUUAGCUGACUUUAAUUUGUUUUUAUUAAGGAUAAAACUUAUUCCUUCACCUUGUACUACAUCACUCACAAAGCUCCGUCGAUGGCUUUACGGCGGCGAAAAACUACUUUUCUUCUUCUUUGAAUUCUCGAUCUCGUCACCCACUGCUGUCCUCACGCGGUUGUAGAACUGAAGAAUAGAACUCACCUCUGUCGAAUCUAAGUAUCCCAACCACCGUUCAUGCCAUCAGGAGCUAUCCACACGCUUACCCCUGGAUCUCUGAAGCACAAGCUGGAGUAACUAACAAACCAGAGGAGGCCUCCUUACAACAUGGCAAUGAACGCCAAAGGCCGGAGAAGACCUCAGACUUCUGAGAACUAGAAAGAGGUUGAGAGAGAGAAAAAUUUGACGAGUAAGAUCCACGCGCUAAAAUUAUUUUCGGUAGAUCCAAAACCUUCCUAUCUGAAAUACCUGAAAUUGAUCGGUUCCUUUCCGAAAUUAAACCGAAUAUCCGAAUCGGUCUAGCGGUCACCAUCUAGAACUUCUUCAACUCAAGGAGUUUGUUCUCGACGUUGAAGAGCAUCACAUUGACCUAGAUUUCCUAUAAUAUCAACCGCAGUAUCCGUUCACAUUUCCUUAAACAAAAAACUAAUGUUCCUUUUUUAAUCCCUUUAAAUAACAUAUUUUUGGAAAUAAUAAUCAAUUCUCUAAAUUAAAAGACCGAGAAUAGACUCCCUCCUUUUCUAUAAAAAGACGACUCCACCAUUAUAGUUCUUCAUUCAUUCAUCAAAAAUCAUCAAACAAAUACAAAACUUAAAAAUCCUAAAAAAAAUGGCCGGAGAAGGAGAAGUCAUCGCUUGCCACACCCUCGAAGUCUGGAACGAGAAGAUCAAAGCCGCUAAUGAAUCCCAAAAACUUGUAAC